rnacentral:tRNA from 1 species
ACUGGGCUGGCUCAGUCGAUAGAGCAUGUGACUCUUGAUCUCAGGGUUAUGAGUUUGAGCCUCACGUUGGGUG